ACGGGAGUGGCGAAAUUGGUAGACGCGUCAGGUUUAGAGUCUGAUACUUUAUAAAAGUAUGCGAGUUCAAGUCUCGCCUUCCGUA
rnacentral:tRNA from 1 species